GUAACACACACACACACACACACACACACACUACGUCUAGUCCUUACAGGUAACACACACACACACACACACACACACACUACGUCUAGUCCUUACAGGUAACACACACACACACACUACGUCUAGUCCUUACAGGUAACACACACACACUACCCCUACAUCUAGUCCUUACAGGUAACACACACACACACUACCCCUACAUCUAGUCCUUACAGGUAACACACACACACUACCCCUACAUCUAGUCCUUACAGGUAACACACACACACUACCCCUACGUCUAGUCCUUACAGGUAACACACACACACUACCCCUACAUCUAGUCCUUACAGGUAACACACACACACUACCCCUACACCUAGUCCUUACAGGUAACACACACACACUACCCCUACACCUAGCCCUUACAGGUAACACACACACACUACCCCUACAUCUAGCCCUUACAGGUAACACACACACACUACCCCUACAUCUAGUCCUUACAGGUAACACACACACACUACCCCUACGUCUAGUCCUUACAGGUAACACACAC
rnacentral:lncRNA from 1 species